GUUGGUUUUCAGGGCAGGGUGAAAUUCCCGACCGGCGGUAUAGUCCGCGACCCAGGUUUUCCUGGUUGAUUGGGUUUAAUUCCCAAACCGAUAGUAAAGUCUAGAUGAAAGAAAACAGAU
rnacentral:ncRNA from 2 species